rnacentral:rRNA from 1 species
UACAGAGGGUGCAAGCGUUGCUCGGCAUUAUUGGGCGUAAAGCGCACGUAGGCGGCUUGUUAAGUCGGAUGUGAAAGCCCCGAGCUCAACUCGGGAAGUGCAUUCGAAACUGGCGAGCUUGAGUAUGGAAGAGGGUCGCGGAAUUCCCGGUGUAGAGGUGAAAUUCGUAGAUAUCGGGAGGAACACCAGUGGCGAAGGCGGCGACCUGGGCCAAUACUGACGCUGAGGUGCGAAAGCGUGGGGAGCAAACAGG